rnacentral:tRNA from 4 species
AGGCGUGUAGCUCAAUUUGGCAGAGCAUCGGUCUCCAAAACCGAAGGUUGCGGGUUCAAGUCCUGCCGCGCCUG